UACGUAGGGUGCGAGCGUUAAUCGGAAUUACUGGGCGUAAAGCGUGCGCAGGCGGUUUUGCAAGCCGGAUGUGAAAUCCCCGGGCUCAACCUGGGAAUGGCAUUCGGGACUGCAAGGCUGGAGUGCGGCAGAGGAGACUGGAAUUCCUGGUGUAGCAGUGAAAUGCGUAGAUAUCAGGAGGAACACCGAUGGCGAAGGCAGGUCUCUGGGCUGACACUGACGCUCAUGCACGAAAGCGUGGGGAGCAAACGGG
rnacentral:rRNA from 1 species